rnacentral:rRNA from 1 species
GUGGGGAAUAUUGCACAAUGGGCGAAAGCCUGAUGCAGCAACGCCGCGUGCGGGAUGACGGCCUUCGGGUUGUAAACCGCUUUCAGCAGGGACGAAGUGAAAAUGACGGUACCUGCAGAAGAAGCACCGGCUAACUACGUGCCAGCAGCCGCGGUGAUACGUAGGGUGCGAGCGUUGUCCGGAAUUAUUGGGCGUAAAGAGCUUGUAGGCGGUCCGUUGCGUCGGAAGUGAAAACUCAGGGCUUAACCCUGAGCCUGCUUUCGAUACGGGCGGACUUGAGGAAUGUAGGGGAGAACGGAAUUCCUGGUGGAGCGGUGGAAUGCGCAGAUAUCAGGAGGAACACCAGUGGCGAAGGCGGUUCUCUGGACAUUUCCUGACGCUGAGAAGCGAAAGCGUGGGGAGCAAACAGGCUUAGAUACCCUUGUAGUCC